CACGUAGGUGGCUAGCGUUGUCCGGAUUUACUGGGCGUAAAGGGCGUGCAGGCGGUUCGUUAAGUUCAGGGUGAAAGCUCCCGGCUCAACUGGGAGAGGUCCUUGGAUACUGGCGGACUCGAGGGAGGUAGAGGAGAGUGGAAUUCCCGGUGUAGUGGUGAUAUGCGUAGAUAUCGGGAGGAACACCAGUGGCGAAGGCGGCUCUCUGGGCCUUUCCUGACGCUGAGACGCGAAAGCGUGGGGAGCGAACCGG
rnacentral:rRNA from 1 species